rnacentral:rRNA from 1 species
GCGAAAGCCGGAUUAAUACCGCAUACGACCUGAGGGUGAAAGCGGGGGAUCUUCGGACCUCGCGCUAUUUGGAGCCGCCGAUGGCAGAUUAGCUAGUUGGUGGGGUAAAGGCCUACCAAGGCGACGAUCUGUAGCUGGUCUGAGAGGACGACCAGCCACACUGGGACUGAGACACGGCCCAGACCUCUACGGGAGGCAGCAGUGGGGAAUUUUGGACAAUGGGCGAAAGCCUGAUCCAGCAAUGCCGCGUGUGUGAUGAAGGGCUUCGGGUUGUAAAGCACUUUUGGCGGGAACGAAAGGGACUGUGCCAAUACCACGGUUCGAUGACGGACCCGCA